GACGAACGCUGGCGGCGUGCUUAACACAUGCAAGUCGAGCGGAAAGGCCACUUCGGUGGUACUCGAGCGGCGAACGGGUGAGUAACACGUGAGUAAUCUGCCCUUGGCUUUGGGAUAGCCACCGGAAACGGUGAUUAAUACCGGAUAUGACCACUCCUCGCAUGGGGUGUGGUGGAAAGUUUUUCGGCCAGGGAUGUGCUCGCGGCCUAUCAGCUUGAUGGUGAGGUAAUGGCUCACCAUGGCUUCGACGGGUAGCCGGCCUGAGAGGGUGACCGGUCACACUGGGACUGAGACACGGCCCAGACUCCUACGGGAGGCAGCAGUGGGGAAUAUUGGACAAUGGGCGGAAGCCUGAUCCAGCAACGCCGCGUGAGGGAUGACGGCCUUCGGGUUGUAAACCUCUUUCAGUACCGACGAAGCGCCGAUGAUGGUGGUGACGGUAGGUACAGAAGAAGCACCGGCCAACUACGUGCCAGCCGCCGCCGUAAAAC
rnacentral:rRNA from 1 species